CUGGCAGUGAUUCGCUGUCCGAGUUGUGGAUUGAAGAGAAUGUCAUCCACGCUGGACCAUGUCUAAAUUGUAAUGAUCCACAGUCCUUUGAAGGAGUAUCAGAGAGGGUAAUAAUCCCGUCUUUAACAUGGACUUACCAGUGUUUCUGUGAUGCACUCUCUCAGAGUCGAGUAGUUUGGGAAUGCUGCUCUAAUGGGAGGUAAACUCCUUCUAAAGCUAAAUAUUGGCGGGAGACCGAUAGCGAACAAGUACCGUGAGGGAAAGAUGAAAAGAACUCUGGAAAGAGAGUCAAAUAGAACGUGAAAUUGCUGAAAGGGAAGCGCUUGGAGUCAGACGCAUCUUUCAUGCUAUACCACUCAGCGGCAUGAAGGCUGAGAGCGGUUACUUGAAGAUGGGCCAGCACUCACGAAGACCAUUGAAGAAGGGGUCAUGGAAUGUAGCUCUGUCUUGAGUGAUUAUAGCCUUGAUGCAGAAGCAAUGUGUCUUUGUGUGAGAUUGACAGCACCAACUU
rnacentral:rRNA from 1 species